CAGCCGUAAACUAUGCGCGUUAGGUGUACUGGUGACCACGAGUCACCGGGUGCCGAAGGGAAACCGUGAAACGUGCCGCCUGGGAAGUACGGUCGCAAGGCUGAAACUUAAAGGAAUUGGCGGGGGGAGGCACCACAACGGGUGGAGCCUGCGGUUUAAUUGGACUCAACGCCGGAAAUCUCACCGGAUAGGACAGACAUAUGAUAGUCGGGCUGAAGACUCUACUUGAUUUUCAGAGAGGAGGUGCAUGGCGUAGACG
rnacentral:rRNA from 1 species